AUUGAACGCUGGCGGCAGGCCUAACACAUGCAAGUCGAGCGGCUGCACAGUGCUUGCUUGCUGAUUCAGCUGCCGAGUGGCGAACGAUUCCUGAGAACCUGGCUAUUUGUUUUUUCUUACGUCCUAAAAUAGGGACUCAUACGCCAUUCGUCCAUACGAAGUACGUGUGGGAGCUUCGGAUCUUCGGCUAUCAGAUGAUCCGAUGUCGGAUUAGCUAGUUGGCGGGGUAAAGGCCUACCAAGGCGACGAUCCGUAGCUGGUCUGAGAGGAUGAUCAGCCACACUGGAACUGAGACACGGUCCAGACUCCUACGGGAGGCAGCAGUGGGGAAUAUUGGACAAUGGGCGCAAGCCUGAUCCAGCCAUACCGCGUGGGUGAAGAAGGCCUUCGGGUUGUAAAGCCCUUUUGUUGGGAAAGAAAAGCAGCAGGUUAAUACCCCGCUGUUCUGACGGUACCAAAAGAAUAAGCACCGGCUAACUUCGUG
rnacentral:rRNA from 1 species